AGUGAACGCUGGCGGUAGGCCUAACACAUGCCAGUCGAACGGCAGCACAGUAAGAGCUUGCUCUUACGGGUGGCGAGUGGCGGACGGGUGAGGAAUACAUCGGAAUCUACUUUUUCGUGGGGGAUAACGUAGGGAAACUUACGCUAAUACCGCAUACGACCUACGGGUGAAAGCAGGGGAUCUUCGGACCUUGCGCGAUUGAAUGAGCCGAUGUCGGAUUAGCUAGUUGGCGGGGUAAAGGCCCACCAAGGCGACGAUCCGUAGCUGGUCUGAGAGGAUGAUCAGCCACACUGGAACUGAGACACGGUCCAGACUCCUACGGGAGGCAGCAGUGGGGAAUAUUGGACAAUGGGCGCAAGCCUGAUCCAGCCAUACCGCGUGGGUGAAGAAGGCCUUCGGUUUGUAAAGCCCUUUUGUUGGGAAAGAAAAGCAGCAGGUUAAUACCCCGCUGUUCUGACGGUACCCAAAGAAUAAGCACCGGCUAACUUCGUG
rnacentral:rRNA from 1 species